rnacentral:rRNA from 1 species
GAGUUUGAUCGUGGCUCAGAUUGAACGCUGGCGGCAUGCCUUACACAUGCAAGUCGAACGGUAACAGGUCUUCGGAUGCUGACGAGUGGCGAACGGGUGAGUAAUACAUCGGAACGUGCCCAGACGUGGGGGGAUAACGAGGCGGAAAGACUUUGCUAAUACCGCAUACGAUCUAAGGAUGAAAGCAGGGGACCGGCAAGGCCUUGCGCGUUUGGAGCGGCCGAUGGCAGAUUAGGUAGUUGGUGGGAUAAAAGACUUACCAAGCCGACGAUCUGUAGCUGGUCUGAGAGGACGACCAGCCACACUGGGACUGAGACACGGCCCAGACUCCUACGGGAGGCAGCAGUGGGGAAUUUUGGACAAUGGGCGAAAGCCUGAUCCAGCAAUGCCGCGUGCAGGAUGAAGGCCUUCGGUUGUAACUGCUUUGUUACGGAACGAAA